UCCAGAAUCUGGGUGGCUGUUAGACUACAGGAUAACCAGAAUAACUGGCCCAAGAUUUUAGGAAUUGAAGCUAUGUGUAUGCCUCUUGAUUUGCCUCUGCCAGUAUGAUUAAAUUCUCCAAAGUGAGAAGCAGGGUUAAGUGAAAUAAUCAGUAUGGCAGUGGUAUUGGCCAAUCACAACAGUUUCAGCUGUGAACAACCAGUCAUUGAACUGAAGCAAACCCUCUGAACCUCAUCCUUGAGAGAAAAGGCUCUGUGUGAUUUACUCUCUAGCUGCUGUGCCCUGCUCUCAUCACCAAGAACAAGAGGACAAGGAGAAAGAGGCCUAGGAGCUAAAAUUACCAAGCACCUACCAUGUUCUAGAUCAUACUGACUCUUCACAAAAAUACUAUGACAGAAGUAUCAACACUCCAGGAGAUACACAAAACAAAUGGAUCCUUACCACAAGACAAAAACCUCCCAGUGGAAAAGCAUAAACACAGUUUCAGCCCAUCUGUAUUGGAAGCCUUGUAAAUAAUCUGACAAAUAAUAGCAAUAAACAAUG